UCUAAAAGUAAUGCCUCCUAAUUGUUUACUCCGUCCUGAGGGAUUCGGGCAGGUUUCUUAUGACUAUUUUGUCUGUCUAUGUUUACCAUACAUGUUUGCAUCAGCAACGUAAAUGUCAUUGUUUUCCUGAACUGUUCCUCGUGCAUCUAGAAGAUUCCAAGACAGACGGCGCGUGCAGACCGCCACUCGGAAGUCCCUGUCUUCCUCGGCCGCUGACCUCGCCUCGCGCCUUCUCCUUCGGCGUGGGAGGACGAAGCGCAAGGCAGUCACGGGGGAUCUAAGCGUGCACUCGCGAGCGGUCACUCUUUUCGCUAAUUUUUGUAAGACUCAGUUGGCCUUGGGUGAAAAGUAUCAGAAAGAAGACAUAUUAUUUCAAGUGGAACGAAACAGCCACAGUGAGGAAGGAAACACCAGGUUCCUGACGUUUCGGACAGAAUAUGAUUCCUCUUCAGGUGCUGGAAGCCAAAAAUCAGUAUCGCCGAAACUUUUAUGCUUCAUUAAGACUGUUUCAUCCCCUCUUCUUUUUGCGUGCGUUACUGUUUUUGUUUUUGUUAACUUUUGUUUUUGUUAACUCUCUAAAGUACAGAUCUGUUGAUGAAUUUGUUAUUUCAUGCAUUUGCAUAAUCUGUAAUUUGAACAGUGUUUUAUGUGCACGUGUGUGCACAUAAUGUUACCAAUAACAUCUUUAUUUAGGCACGUGCAAAAUGUUUUAAUAUGACUGCAUGUACCAUUUAAUUUGAUAAGCAAUUUUAUACAACAACUGGAUUUUCUACUUAUUUUAUAGGCUCAUUCUUUUCAAAGUGGUCAAGUUGGCUGAAAAUAUGAUGCAUUUUUGCCAAGAGUUUCCUUUGCGGCAGUUCUCAGGGGCUUUUAUAAUGAGCAACUCAUUAUUUUUUGUUGUAUUCUAAACAUACAGCAUCAUUAGAUCAUUUCAUACAUAAUGCAUAAACAGCUCUGCAUCCUAUAUUUGGCUAAAAAGAUUCUUUAAAUGAAAUUAUUGCGUUGUCUCACCAUUGGCUAUCAAUAUUUGACUCGAAAAUUCUUGGGAAUAUUCAAAAGAAUAGAUGAAGUGAAACCUCA